AUCUGUAGGUUGUUUUGCCCAUAUAGGAGCCUGGUCUCAAGUGGUGGGUAGAUGUCUGGCAAGGAACUGUCUAGCACCAUUUGAAAUCAGUGCCCCUGAUGGUUGCCACGACGAAAAGGUCAU
rnacentral:pre_miRNA from 9 species